AACGCUGGCGGCGUGCCUAAUACAUGCAAGUCGAACGGUCUUUUCUAUGGAAGCUUGCUUCCACUGAGAAGAUAGUGGCGAACGGGUGAGUAACACGUGGGUAACCUGCCCAUAAGAGGGGGAUAACAUCCGGAAACGGGUGCUAAUACCGCAUAGUUUUCUUGAUCGCAUGAUUGAGAAAGGAAAGAUGGCCUUUGUGCUGUCGCUUAUGGAUGGACCCGCGGCGUAUUAGUUAGUUGGUGAGGUAACGGCUCACCAAGACGAUGAUACGUAGCCGACCUGAGAGGGUGAUCGGCCACAUUGGGACUGAGACACGGCCCAAACUCCUACGGGAGGCAGCAGUAGGGAAUCUUCCGCAAUGGACGAAAGUCUGACGGAGCAACGCCGCGUGAGUGAAGAAAGGUUUUCGGAUCGUAAAACUCUGUUGUCAGAGAAGAACAAGUUGGAGAGUAACUGCUCCAGCCUUGACGGUAUCUGACCAGAAAGCCACGGCUAACUACGUGCCAGCCGCAGC
rnacentral:rRNA from 1 species